GUCCCUGUAGCGCAAUGGAUAGCGUGUUGGACUUCUAAUCCAAGAAUCGUGGAUUCGACUUCCACCUGGGAUA